rnacentral:rRNA from 2 species
AUGAAGAACGUAGCAAAAUGCGAUAUGUAAUGCGAUUUGCAGAACUCGUGAGUCAUCGAAUUUUUGAACGCAAGUUGCGCUCGCGGGAAAUCCUGCGAGCACGUCUGUUUGAGUGUC